AUAUGGUUUUUCAGCUUUUGAAACACAAUUGGUUUUAUUUAGUUAGUGGGUUUUUAAAGAUAUUUAAAGUUGUUAUUUGGUUCUAGGGCAUAAACCAAAUAUUCUGGAAGCACUAAUCGAGAUAUAAGUUUUACUUCUAGCAACAGACAAACUUUUUUGCAUUGAUCAUUCAGCUUCAAGCACCAUAUAUGUUCCAGGUUUGAACGUGUCCUUCGAUGGAACCAUGGAAUAAGUCUCUAAUCGAACUCGUCAUCAUGUAUAUGGAACUUUUCGUCCUCACUCUUCCCAUAUUCUUGGGGUUGUGCUUUUGUCUAUGCUUUUGGAACUUGAUUGGACAACACUUGCGCCAAGAGUAUGCCGUCGCUCCACAAGGAACCAAUCCUAUGGAGAUUCAUUGCCGUCGUGGAACAACCACGGUGAUCCACGAACUAAUGGACCAAACCACCCGGAGCCACAGACUCCAUUCCAUGCCAGCUGUGAUGGUUUGAAGUUGAUUACAAUGACGAUUCAUUUGUAUUAUAACGGCAUUUUGAAGCUCCAAGAGGAAAGAGAUUUAAUACAUAAAAAAAGGUCCGGAAAAAAACAGGCUCCAGACACUUGACUACAAGAUCAUAGGCUGAUCUGGAUGUGCCUCAUUUGUUUCCCACGUUUUUUGUUUAAUGAUUAGUUUUGGUCGGUCAUAUCGAGUAAAAACCGAAUGUCUCUGAAUGUCGAGAGGUGUAUCCUUGUCCAAAUUCCAAUUUUAUCUCUAAAGUGAAUUCGUAGCUCAGCUCUCUGUUUUUCAGGUUCAUCAGGACUUUUGAUAUUCGGAAGCCACCAGAGGGUCUCCUCUGUCAGUGUGCUCGUGAGCGACAUCAUCGGCGUCAAAUGAUGAUGCAAAUGCUCGGGUUGCCUCAGAGACACUCUUUGGUAUCUGUCCCCAUAUCGCUUCAACGGGAGGACGAAUUAAUCAAGACGCUCUCAAGAUAGAUGCUAGUUGGUACAACUGUGACUUGGCUUUGAUGAUUUGUAUAAAAUCCGGGACUCGCUCUCUUAUCCAUUAGUUUGGCCACCACAAUCAAUAAGACCGUAGCUCCACUGGACAUAAUGAAUCACAUGAUCAAAAUUUCCGUUUGGGCAGCCUUGGCUCUGGCCUUGCUUCAGUGUUGCCAAAGCAGGAGUUUUAUUCAGCAACACAGUGUUGCUGAGCAGGAUUCGCCGAACUUUCAUUACGACAACCCGUUGUAUUUGUUUGAUUACCGAAUCUACGCCAAUGAAAAUUCGGAGGCCCAACACUUCGGCCAGACUGAAGAAAGGGACCAUGGAAACGUGAAAGGCCAAUAUUAUGUCCUAUUACCGGACGGCCGAGUGCAAACCACCAAGUAUUCGGUCAGUGGAGAUUCCGGUUAUGUGGCUGAAGUGACCUACGACUAACAAAUCCAAUAAGUGCAUCGAGGUGGUGCUGAUCAAAACCUAUCACGAGCUUUGUUGGAAUGCGUCUCUUUUAUUAUUAUUUAUUAUUAUCUUUACUAUUGUCAGUUUUACUGUGCUCAGAUUUCCAACUUCUGAACAAAAAUAGGUUUCCAAUUUGGACCAUGACCAAACGCCGUCUGACCCAAACUUGUCGCGAUGUCGAAUUGAGUUUAGAGGUGUGCCCACAGUCUGGUCAAACGUUGUUGUCGGUUGGUUUCUGAAUAAAACAUGAGUUGGGAAUCGACGAAAACUCUUUCGCUUAUUGCUUUGGUGACAAGAGUACCACGACCCACUCCAAAACCAGUUCCUAUAAUGUACCAUAAAU